GCUUCACUGCCCUAGGAGCCUGAGAUGGAGGCUGGGGAGCUUCCCUCCAGGUGCUGGGACUGGCUCACCUUCUUGGCCCUAGGAGCUUGGGAUGGCAGCGGGGAAGCUUCCUUCCGGGUGCUUGCACAGGCUGAGCUUCACUGCCCUAGGAGCCAGAGAUGGAGGCGGGGUGCUUCCUUCCAGGUUCUGGGGCCAGCUGAGCUUCACUGCCCUGGCAGCUUGGGAUUGAGCCUGCAAGCUUCCCUCAAGGUGCUGGGACCGGCUUACCUUCUUGGCCCUAGGAGCCUGGGAAGGCAGUGGGGUAGCUUCCUUACGGGUCCUGGGACCAGUUGAGCUUCACUGUUCUAGGAGCCUGGGAUGGGAGUAGGGGAGCUUCCUUCCUGGUGCUGGGAAUGGCUGAGCUUCACUACCCUUUGAGCCUGGGAUGGAGCCGGGGAGCUUCCUUCUGGGUGCUGGGACCGGCUCACAUUCUUGGCCCUAGGAGCCUGGGAUGGGAGUAGGGGAGCUUCCUUCCUGGUGCUGGGACUGGCUGAGCUUCACUGCCCUAGGAGCCUGGGAUGGAGGCGGGGAGCUUCAUUCUUGGUGCUGGGACCAGCUGAGCUUCUUGGCCCUAGGAGCUUGGGAUGGCAGCACGGAAGCUUCCUUCCAGGUGCUUGCACUGGCUGAGCUUCACUGCCCUAGGAGCCUGAGAUGGAGGCGGGGAGCUUCCUUCCCGGUGCUGGGACCAGAGGGCCUUCACUGCCCUAGGAGCCUGGGGUGGAGACUAGGAGCUUCCCUUCUGGUGCUGGGACCUCCUCACAUUCUUGGCCCUAGUAGCAUGGGAUGGAGGCUGGGGAAGCUUCCCUUCUGGUCCUUGGACAAGCUGGCCUUCACUGCCCUAGGAGCCUGGGAUGGAGGCUGGGGAGCUUCCUUCCAGGUGCUUGGACCAGCUCACCUUCUUGGCCCUAGGAGCCUGUGAUGGCAGCAGGGGAGCUUCCUUCCAGGUGCUGGGAUCAGCUGAGAUUCGCUGCCCUAGGAGCCUGGGAUGGAGGCGGGGAGCUUCCUUCCGGGUGCUGGGACCAGCUGAGCU
rnacentral:lncRNA from 1 species